GGAGAGGUGACCGAGUGGUCGAAGGUGCACGACUGGAAAUCGUGUGUACCGAAAGGUACCGAGGGUUCGAAUCCCUUCCUCUCCG
rnacentral:tRNA from 1 species